UCCGGUUUGUCACCGGCAGUCCCAUUAGAGUGCCCAACUGAAUGUAGCAACUAAUGGCAAGGGUUGCGCUCGUUGCGGGACUUAACCCAACAUCUCACGACACGAGCUGACGACAGCCAUGCAGCACCUGUGUUACGGUUCCCUUUCGGGCACCCUCACAUCUCUGCGAGGUUCCGUACAUGUCAAGGGUAGGUAAGGUUUUUCGCGUUGCAUCGAAUUAAUCCACAUAAUCCACCGCUUGUGCGGGUCCCCGUCAAUUCCUUUGAGUUUUAACCUUGCGGCCGUACUCCCCAGGCGGUCAACUUCACGCGUUAGCUUCGUUACCAAGGAAUUGCUUCCCCGACAACCAGUUGACAUAGUUUAGGGCGUGGACUAC
rnacentral:misc_RNA from 1 species